ACGGAAGGCAGCAGUGGGGAAUAUUGCACAAUGGGCGCAAGCCUGAUGCAGCGACGCCGCGUGAGUGAUGAAGUAUUUCGGUACGUAAAGCUCUAUCAGCAGGGAAGAUAAUGACGGUACCUGACUAAGAAGCCCCGGCUAACUACGUGCCAGCAGCCGCGGUAAUACGUAGGGGGCAAGCGUUAUCCGGAUUUACUGGGUGUAAAGGGAGUGUAGGUGGCCUGGCAAGCCAGAUGUGAAAGCCCGCGGCUCAACCGCGGGACUGCAUUUGGAACUGUUAGGCUUGAGUGCAGGAGAGGAAAGUGGAAUUCCUAGUGUAGCGGUGAAAUGCGUAGAUAUUAGGAGGAACACCAGUGGCGAAGGCGGCUUUCUGGACUGUAACUGACACUGAGGCUCGAAAGCGUGGGGAGCAAACAGGAUUAGAUACCCUGGUA
rnacentral:rRNA from 1 species